GGCUUCUGUUCUAUGUGUGUUUCUUCCUCUCGAGUGCCCCCCGAUCCUCUCUAAUCUAGCGACGACGACAAACUUGUGAUGGCGAUGACCUCGAUGAUGGGUUCUUGCCGGUAUGGUAGCUCCAGUGAGAUCUUCCAUUCAUCGCCCCUCUAUGCGAAUCUUGCAGAGGUGGUUGCGGACGCAUGAAGUCCUCUCUGCUGGCGCAGUUCGCGAGUGCAGGAGAUUCUGAAUCGGGCGACAGCGGCUGUUCAUCCACUUCUGCCAAGAAGCUCAUUCCUAAUUCCAGCACCAAGCGCUAUAGAGGACUCCUUGCAUACGGGUUUGCGAAGGUAGGAGUCUUCCCCAGUGAAGUCCAGUGCCCACUAUUCUUCUCCGGCAAAAAGCUUCAGUGUGCUGCCCUCUUCUCCAGUUCCAUCCAAUGGUUCAAGUCAGCGUGGUUUGCACUGGUGAGAGCAGCGUUGACGGGGUUGGACAACACCUCCACGUCUCUCAGUCAACUUCCAUCGGAGUGGUCCAACUUUGAGGAAGAGUCACUCCAUCCCUAUCAUAUAUAGUGGAUACUCUAACUGAAUCGUCUUCGACCACGAAAGAAAGUUUUUGAGGAGACGAUGGUGAAAGGAUCGGUCCUUGCUUCACCUAUAAUCAUCCCACUUUUAGCUUGGCUUAUGGAACUGAAUCGACUUCGACCAUCAGAAAUUCAGGAGAGUUUAUUCCAUCUUACUUUGUCUUUUUCUUUCUAUUUGUAUAUAUUGUUCGGACAUGAUCGAUGCAGGUACAUGCUAAAACACGUUUCACAAACAUGCGCAGUGGAAAAUAAAAAUGAUAAUAAUUCCUAAUUAUUACAUCACACACACCACAUGCAUAUAAGGAUACAACAUGCCAAACAUGAUUGUAUAAUUAAAAUUUUACGAAAAGUAAAUUUACGCUAGGUAUACCUGACGGAUGAUGCGUAGAAGAUUCCAUCAGAUGAUUCAGAGUGGGAAGGAGAUCAACGAAGUGACACUGGGAAGCCUUGCCUCUACUUGUAUCCACGUCGAGCUAUCUUCGAAACGACUUCAAUAAGUCUAAGUCGUGUCUCCGCUUCGAUACUAGCUGAAGGUAGGAGACGGUUAGAUCCGAGAGUGUAACACUUCAAGUUUCGACAGCAACUAUUGCUCGCCGGAACAGCAUCUCCGACGCCAGAACAGUGAUCCCAGAAUAUACAAGAGGGUUGGAAAUCCACCUGCAGAUUUGGAAAGGAGCAACAAGCUUUGGCAAUUUACGACGGCAACUCCGACAAACACUCAGGCGGUAGAUGCGCUGGCAGUAGCUUGGUGUGCUCACAAGUGCUGGAGAACUUUCCCAGCGGCUGGAAUUGCAUGACAAGAGCAAGGAGAACAUUUCCCCUUGCUAUCCAACGGCUCCAUGAGUUGAUGGACAUCUGGAAGUCGUUAGAAGACUGGAAAAUGGUCGACAAUCGGUUUGGCAUCCCUUCUAAAGGGUUGUCUCACGAUGGCGCUCGGCUGAGCGACGACGGCGCAUGGGUGAGUGACGGCGGAAGGAGAGCUCUUCUCCUUCUUGCUCUCCAACGAAGACAACUUCCUCCCAAGGUCAUCGGUGGCUAUUGUAGCACCGACAUUGAGUUAUCCUUUACGGUUGGAGAUUUGUUCAUUAUACUUGGAGGGAGUGGUAUAUGAGUAUGUUGCUUGGAUGUUACCCUUGGAUGUGAAUUUCUGAGUUGAGCAGUAAAUUUGAGGACUAAAUUUUUAUUAGUGGAGGAGAAUGUAAUAUACAGUAAAUUUAAUAAUAAGUAUUAUUGGAGAAAUGAUCUUAUUGGAAUUUUUAGGAUUUUUUAGAAUUUUUUCAGGAUUUAAACGGAGUCCGUAUGACUCAUUUGGAGGGGAUGAAUCGGUGGGGCUAGGUGGAUGCCUAUUUGGAUACCCCAAUUAAAGUGAGAGUUGAUUGAUUUAAUUAACCCAAAGUUGGAUUAAUUGACCUAAGUUUAUAACCAUGCCCUAACUCUUCCUUCACCCCAUCUCACCGAUGCCCUCUAUCCCGAUUCUCUUUCUUCUUCUUCUUCUCGAUCUUUUCUUCUCGUCACCGAAGCUUCUAGAGGUAAAAUUUAAAAAUUAUAACAUAAUUGGGCAGCCUGAAUUCUAGUGGUAAAAUCUUUUAAAAAAUAACUUAAAAAUUAUAACCCAAUUGAGAAGCCUGAACCUAGAAAUAAAAUCUUUAAAAAAUAUUUUAAUUAAUUUUUUUA